rnacentral:misc_RNA from 1 species
GAAAUGCGAUAAGUAGUGUGAAUUGCAGAAUUCAGUGAAUCAUCGAAUCUUUGAACGCACAUUGCGCCCCUUGGUAUUCCAUGGGGCAUGCCUGUUCGAGCGUCAUUUGUACCCUCAAGCUCUGCUUGGUGUUGGGUGUUUGUCCCGUCUCUGCGCGUGGACUCGCCCCAAAGUGAUUGGCAGCCGGCGUACUGGUCCCGGAGCGCAGCACAUGUCGCGCAAACGAGUGCCUUGGUACGGCGGCGUCCAUAAGCCCCUCUCUCACGCUCUUGACCUCGGAUCAGGUAGGGAUACCCGCUGAACUUAAGC